rnacentral:sRNA from 1 species
UAAUGUUUACGCUGAUUUGGUAUGAGGU